UACGGAGGGUGCAAGCGUUGCUCGGAAUCACUGGGCGUAAAGGGCGUGUAGGCGGUCUCGUAUGUCUGACGUGAAAGCCCCGGGCUCAACCCGGGAAGUGCGUUGGAAACUGCGAGACUAGAGUCUCGGAGAGGAAGGUGGAAUUCCAGGUGUAGCGGUGAAAUGCGUAGAUAUCUGGAAGAACACCCGGUGGCGAAGGCGGCCUUCUGG
rnacentral:rRNA from 1 species